GCCAGAGUGGCAAAGUGGUUUGAAUAUUGGAUUGUGACUCUGGAGAUCAGGGUUCGAUUCCCUGCUCAACCA